AUCUGCGGGGGGGCCGGCGCCCCAGAAGCCGCCUCCGACACGCGCAGUUUCCUCGCAUGAACCGCCAUUAAAGGGGAACAGAACGGGCUUCGCCCCACGCCCGCCUGCCGCGUGGGCAGUGGGACCCGGAGAACUGGCCGGUAGCGACGCGUUCCUGCACCGACCAGGUGCCAAAAAUAAUUGCUGAUUUUGCCAAGUUGUGUCUUCACCGCCUGUCAAAGAUCUCCGUGCAAUGUCAUGUGGCGUCUAAGGCACAUCAAACUACAACCAAAGUGAAGAAAAGAGAUGAGAGAAAGUGAAUCCUGGACCAGAUCCAGAGAAUUUUCUGCCCAAAGCUCCAAGAGACAAUGUUGGACACUCCUGUGAUUCACAUCCUGGAAAUGUUCUGAUUCCAUGCAACUGGUAAAUAUUAAGUGUAUGCUUUUGUGGAUUAAAUCCUUAGCUCUUGUUCCAACACAAGCUAAUAGUCCUUUGGAUUGGCUUGUUUGUGAAAACAUCUAAAUAAAAAACAUGGCAUUAUAUGCGAGUAUAAAAACCUCAGAUCAG